rnacentral:lncRNA from 1 species
AUUUCUGCAGUAACGGGAAGGAAGGGAGUGACUUGUAAGACAGUAAGACUAUAUGCUCUAGAAUAUGUCAGAUAUUUUUUUUUCAAUCUUUCAGUCGCUUCAUAACUUCAUUAUACUCGUUACAUUACUCUCAUUAAUCCCAUUUAUCUCGACUAGGACAUCAAAAAAGUUCAUCAAAAGGCUGCAAAGUUCUUCUGAAGUGGGAGAUGGAGGGAUGUCGCAGUACAAGUAACAUGACAAUCCGUUGAAAAUCAGCCAGUCGAAUCAGA